AUUGAACGCUGGCGGCAUGCUUUACACAUGCAAGUCGAACGGCAGCGCGGGCUUCGGCCUGGCGGCGAGUGGCGAACGGGUGAGUAAUGCAUCGGAACGUGCCCAGUAGUGGGGGAUAGCCCGGCGAAAGCCGGAUUAAUACCGCAUACGACCUGAGGGUGAAAGCGGGGGACCGAAAGGCCUCGCGCUAUUGGAGCGGCCGAUGUCGGAUUAGCUAGUUGGUGGGGUAAAGGCUUACCAAGGCGACGAUCCGUAGCUGGUCUGAGAGGACGACCAGCCACACUGGGACUGAGACACGGCCCAGACUCCUACGGGAGGCAGCAGUGGGGAAUUUUGGACAAUGGGGGCAACCCUGAUCAAGCCAUGCCGCGUGCGGGAAGAAGGCCUUCGGGUUGUAAACCGCUUUUGUUCGGGAAGAAAUCCUCUGGGCUAAUACCCCGGGGGGAUGACGGUACCGGAAGAAUAAGCACCGGCUAACUACGUG
rnacentral:rRNA from 1 species